rnacentral:rRNA from 1 species
AUCUCUGUAGAGUCUGCAUAUCAAUAAGCGGAGGAAAAGAAACUAACUAGGAUUCCCUCAGUAACGGCGAGUGAAGCGGGAAGAGCUCAAAUUUGAAAUCUUCAAGGUUCUACCUUGACGAAUUGUAGUUUAAAGAAGUGUUUUCUGUUGGAGUUUUGGUAAAAGUUCUUUGGAAUAGGACAUCAUAGAGGGUGAGAAUCCCGUAUUUGACCAUUACUUUCCAGCUUUGUGAUACACUUUCAAAGAGUCGGAUUGUUUGGGAAUGCAGUCCAAAAUGGGUGGUAAACUUCAUCUAAAGCUAAAUAUUGGCGAGAGACCGAUAGCGAACAAGUACCGUGAGGGAAAGAUGAAAAGAACUUUGAAAAGAGAGUUAAACAGUACGUGAAAUUGUCAAAAGGGAAGCGUUUGACACCAGUGUUGUUUUCUCGAAAAUCAAUUAAAAAAGGCAGGAUUUUGUGUUGUAUUGACUUUAUCAGCUUUCUGCACUCUUUUCUUGUCUUUUUUAAUGCACUUUUCGUUUAACAAGUCAACAUCAAUUUCUUUUGUUGUAAAAGGGUCAUUGGAAGGUGGCUUUCUUUUCGGAGAAAGUGUUUAUAGCCUUUGGCCUCUGCAAUCGGAGAGAUUGAGGUCUGCAGCGUAGAUCCUUCGGGGUUAGAUACAUUUGUGCUAAGUUAUAGCCUUUCAUAGACAACUUGUUGACUAUGAUCAGUCAUGUAGCUUACUCGCUUAUGCUAUUUUACCUACGCUUAGGAUGUUGACGAUCAGCUGAGCGCG